rnacentral:rRNA from 1 species
UACAGAGGGUGCAAGCGUUGUUCGGAAUCAUUGGGCGUAAAGCGCACGUAGGCGGUUCGGUAAGUCGGGUGUGAAAGCCCCGGGCUCAACCCGGGAAGGGCACUCGAAACUGGCGAGCUUGAGUACGGAAGAGGGUCUCGGAAUUCCCGGUGUAGAGGUGAAAUUCGUAGAUAUCGGGAGGAACACCAGUGGCGAAGGCGGAGACCUGGGCCGAUACUGACGCUGAGGUGCGAAAGCGUGGGGAGCAAACAGG